GGGCCGGUAGCUCAGUGGUAGAGCAACACCCUUUUAAGGUGAUGGUCGUGGGUUCAAGCCCCACCCGGCUCACCA
rnacentral:tRNA from 1 species